UUCACUUAAUUAACAACUGUAAAUUACGUGUAUUAAGAACAGUAAUUGGCUAUGUUCUUUUGUCUUCCUUUUAAUCAUAUCUUGUGCAUCUUAUGUUGAUCUUUCUUGGGAUUGAAUAUCAAUUUUAGGUCACCUUUCAUUUGUAGUGCUUUUCCGAAACCCAAGAAGUUUCUUUCUCUUGGAAUACAAUUUUCUCAGGCAUAGCCUCGUCCAAAAAAGGAACUAAAUGUGUUCUUGUAUCUCCAAAUCCUGUUACCAAGUUUAAGACACUCUCCGUACAAUCCAGACCCAUGGUCCUUGGCAGCCAAAUCUCCCCGUCUUUAGAUUUGGGAUCCAAUUACUCCGUGCCGUUAUCCAGACACGUCUGCUUCGGCACAUGAUGCUGAAACAGCUGAGACUACUGAGAAAGGAGCUGCUAACAAGAAAUCAAAGGCUGGUGGUGGUAAGAAGAAGAAGUAGUUAGCAUCAAGUUAAAGCUUGCAGUAAAGUGAUGGUUUCGUACCUUGUCAGUAAUUUGGUGUCCUUUCAAUGCACCAAUAUUAUAUGCAGUUUUCAAGAUCUAAACCGGACAGGAAUUGCAGUAUGUACUUGAAGAGAUAUCAAGCAUUCGUAGUUGGAAUGUAAUGGAAGAAAAGAUAAAAAAUGACUGUUUCUUUUUCAUAAUGUACAAAUGAAGAAAAAAAUAAUUGGUCUAUUCACAAGUACUUCCAGACUUGGAUUAACAGUGUGUAUCUGAAGAAGUUUGAUGUGCGUUUGAAUUAGUAUCGUCAUGAUUUAACUUGACGCUAGUUAAACCUA